rnacentral:rRNA from 1 species
AACAUAGCCUUUAGCCAAACAAGUAUUAAAGGUCUAGCCUGCCCAGUGAGUUAUUUCAACGGCCGCGGUAUCCUAACCGUGCAAAGGUAGCGUAAUCAUUUGUCUUCUAAAUAGAGACUUGUAUGAACGGCUAACUGAGGGUCCAACUGUCUCCUUAGGCCAAUCAAUGAAACUGAUCUUUCAGUACAAAAGCUGAAAUAAACACAUAAGACGAGAAGACCCUGUGGAGCUUAAAACCUACACUAUAAACACCCACCCACCCCUAAAGGGGCACCUCCCUCCCCAUAGUAAAAAGUUUUUAGUUGGGGCGACUUUGGAACAAAACAGAACUUCCAUGACAGGGACCCCUCCCUAUAAAGGCCUACAUGCCAAAAUAAUACUCUAUUGACCCAGCCUGUCUGAUCAACGAACCAAGUUACCCCAGGGAUAACAGCGCCAUCCUCUUCGAGAGUUCCUAUCGACAAGAGGGUUUACGACCUCGAUGUUGGAUCAGGACACCCCGGUGGUGUAGCCGCUACCAAAGGUUCGUUUGUUCAACGAUUAACAGU